UACAAAGGUCCCGAGCGUUGUCCGGAUUCAUUGGGCGUAAAGAGCUCGUAGGCGGCUGCUCAAGUCGAAUGUGAAAACUCGAGGCUCAACCUCGAGCCUGCAUUCGAUACUGGGUGGCUAGAGUCUGGUAGGGGGAUCUGGAAUUCCUGGUGUAGCGGUGAAAUGCGCAGAUAUCAGGAGGAACACCGGUGGCGAAGGCGGGUCUCUGGGCCGAAACUGACGCUGAGGAGCGAAAGCGUGGGGAGCAAACAGG
rnacentral:rRNA from 1 species